rnacentral:lncRNA from 1 species
GGAUUGAAGAGGACGAAGAUUUACAGUUGGAACCGGAAUUAGUGGAACCAAUAACAGAUACUGCGGCAAUUGAUUAAUUAGAUAGGCCAAAGGGAUCGCACUUUUUGUAGAGUUUUGUUAGGUAAUUUUUAGAUAGGUAUCCAUUGAGUAUUUGUAAGGACGCUGCACAGUUAGGAGUGGGGCUAUGUAGAAUAAGUAGUUAUUUUCAGAAUGUAGAUAACCAGUGUAUAGUGUAAACAGGGAUAGAUAACUGCU